GGCCCAAAUUUGAAACAGAAUGGAUUAGGGGGAUCAUAUGACCCUACUAAACCACACUACUUCGAGUUUGGGUCC
rfam:Haemonchus contortus, ISE/inbred ISE, WGS project CAVP01000000 data, contig: Hcontortus_contig_pathogens_Hcontortus_scaffold_5160